rnacentral:tRNA from 1 species
GCCGGUGUGGCUCAGUGGAUAGAGUGUCGGCCUGUGGACUGAAGGGUCCCAGGUUUGAUUCCUGUCAAGGGCA